GAGCUUGUAGCUUAAAGGAUUAGAGCACAUGGCUACAAACCACGGUAUUGGGGGUUCGAAUCCCUCCUCAUCCA
rnacentral:tRNA from 1 species